GACAGAGGGUGCAAACGUUGUUCGGAAUUACUGGGCGUAAAGCGUGUGUAGGCGGUCUCAUAAGUCGGAUGUGAAAGCCCCGGGCUCAGCCCGGGAAGUGCAUUCGAAACUGCGAGGCUAGAGUAUCGGAGAGGUUGGUGGAAUUCUCGGUGUAGAGGUGAAAUUCGUAGAUAUCGAGAGGAACACCGGUGGCGAAGGCGGCCAACUGGACGAAUACUGACGCUGAGACACGAAAGCGUGGGGAGCAAACAGG
rnacentral:rRNA from 1 species